ACCAGUGUGGUGCAGUGGUUUGAUUGUCAGACUAUAACUUUGGAGACCAGGGUUCAAAUCCUGACUCAGCCA